AUUGAACGCUGGCGGCAGGCCUAACACAUGCAAGUCGAGCGGAUGAACCGUGCUUUCUCCUGGUUUCAGCGUCGGACGGGUGUGUAAUGCCUAUGAAUCUGCCUGGUAUUGCUUUAUAACGUCCUGAAACGGGCGCUAAUACCCCAUUCUUCCUGCUCCUGCUACUUGGUGUUCUUCGGACCUUUUGCUCUCAUAUGAGUCUAGGUCGGAUUAGCUAGUUGGUUGGGUAAAGGCCUACCAAGGCGACGAUCCGUAACUGGUGUGAGAGGAUGAUCAGUCACACUGGAAGUGAGACAGGGACAAGAGUACUACGGGAGGGAGCAGUGGGGAAUAGUGGACAAUGGGGGAAAGCAUGAUACAGCGAGGCGGAGUGUGUGAAGAAGGUGUUGGGAGUGUAAAGAAGUUUAAGUUGGGAGGAAGGGCAGUAAGUUAAUAAGAAGCUGGAUUGACGUUAACAAAAGAAUAAGCACCGGCUAACUACGUG
rnacentral:rRNA from 1 species